rnacentral:tRNA from 1 species
UUUAAGGUGGCUCAGAUGGUAAAGCAUCUGUCUGCAAUGCAGGAGACCUGGGUUCAAUCCCUGGGCUGGGAA